UCGGCCCGAGUUGUAAUUUGUAGAGGAUGCUUUUGGUGAGGUGCCUUCUGAGUUCCCUGGAACGGGACGCCAGAGAGGGUGAGAGCCCCGUAUAGUCGGCCACCGAUCCUUUGUAAAGCUCCUUCGACGAGUCGAGUAGUUUGGGAAUGCUGCUCAAAAUGGGAGGUAUAUCUCUUCUAAAGCUAAAUAUAGGCCAGAGACCGAUAGCGCACAAGUAGAGUGAUCGAAAGAUGAAAAGCACUUUGAAAAGAGGGUUAAAUAGCACGUGAAAUUGUUGAAAGGGAAGCGCUUGUGACCAGACUUGUGCCGGGCUGAUCAUCCAGUGUUCUCACUGGUGCACUCGACCCGGCUCAGGCCAGCGUCGGUUUUCGUGGGGGGAUAAAAGCUUCGGGAACGUGGCACCUUCGGGUGUGUUAUAGCCCGUUGCUUAAUACCUCCGUGGAGACCGAGGU
rnacentral:rRNA from 1 species